ensembl:lncRNA
CAUAUCUCCACUGGUGUCUGCUGCUCCUCUGGUUCCCUCAGAGCUCCUCCAGAUUGGUAGAGAAGGCCAUCUGCUCCUGUGGUUUAUCAGGAUUUUAUGUUCUGAGCUCCGGGCCAACUGUGGACACACUCGUAUGGCCCUCGACCCAAAUAACACGUCUGCAGAGCGGCUUAGCACAACAUGAGCGCGGCACAACAGAACCACUUCUCCCCCUGAACAGCAUUGAUUACACUGAGCUCAUGGAGUCCGUGGUGAAAGUGAAGAAGUGCUUUCAGAAGCCCAUGAGGAAGCUGACGAGCUGCGUGCUGAGGCAGGAGGAAAAGAGGCUCUGCUCUGGACACAGGGCAACAAGAGGUAGAGGGUCCGGCACCAGGAGGAGGAGGAAGGACCCUCUGAGACAGACCCCCCCUCGCUCCUACCAGGCCGACCUCGACAAGGAGAGGAAGCUGAGGGAAGCGAUGAAUGCUCAGAAGAACGCAGAGAGAGCUGCCAUGAGAGCGCACUUCAGGAGGAAAUACCAACUGUCUGAGGACCCUCAGGACCGGUACCACCUGCGCUCUGUCGGGGGGAAAGUGGCGCUGCCUCGUGAGCUGUCCAAGAUCAUUUGUCCUGAAGCUCAGACCAAGGACGAACGUUUCGACCUGCUCAGCGCCUUCCAAGGACUCAGCCUCAGCCCAGUGAUCGGAGCCAGCGGCCCGAGUGCAGACGGCUGCAGAGUCAUGUGACCUGAGUCUGCAGAGUCAUGUGACC